rnacentral:rRNA from 1 species
CAGCAGCCGCGGUAAUACAGAGGGUGCGAGCGUUAAUCGGAUUUACUGGGCGUAAAGCGUGCGUAGGCGGCUAAUUGAGUCGGAUGUGAAAUCCCCGAGCUUAACUUGGGAAUUGCAUUCGAUACUGGUUAGCUAGAGUGUGGGAGAGGAUGGUAGAAUUCCAGGUGUAGCGGUGAAAUGCGUAAAGAUCUGGAGGAAUACCGAUGGCGAAGGCAGCCAUCUGGCCUAACACUGACGCUGAGGUACGAAAGCAUGGGGAGCAAACAGGAUUAGAUACCCGAGUAGUCCCUGUCUCUUAUAC